ACUCCUACGGGAGGCAGCAGUGGGGAAUAUUGCACAAUGGGCGCAAGCCUGAUGCAGCCAUGCCGCGUGUAUGAAGAAGGCCUUCGGGUUGUAAAGUACUUUCAGCAGUGAGGAAGGUGGGUAUGUUAAUAGCAUACUCAUUUGACGUUAGCUGCAGAAGAAGCACCGGCUAACUCCGUGCCAGCAGCCGCGGUAAUACGGAGGGUGCGAGCGUUAAUCGGAAUUACUGGGCGUAAAGCGCAUGCAGGUGGUUUGUUAAGUCAGAUGUGAAAGCCCGGGGCUCAACCUCGGAAUUGCAUUUGAAACUGGCAAACUAGAGUACUGUAGAGGGGGGUAGAAUUUCAGGUGUAGCGGUGAAAUGCGUAGAGAUCUGAAGGAAUACCGGUGGCGAAGGCGGCCCCCUGGACAGAUACUGACACUCAGAUGCGAAAGCGUGGGGAGCAAACAGGAUUAGAUACCCGGUAGGCUCU
rnacentral:rRNA from 1 species